rnacentral:rRNA from 1 species
AGGCGACUUACUGGACUGUAACUGACGCUGAGGCUCGAAAGCGUGGGGAGCGAACAGGAUUAGAUACCCUGGUAGUCACGCCGUAAACGAUGAAUACUAGGUGUCUGGGGUCGAACCUAGGUGCCGCAGCUAACGCAUUAAGUAUUCCGCCUGGGGAGUACGCACGCAAGUGUGAAACUCAAAGGAAUUGACGGGGACCCGCACAAGCAGCGGAGCAUGUGGUUUAAUUCGAAGCAACGCGAAGAACCUUACCAGGUCUUGACAUACAGAUGACCGACUCUUAAUCGGGUCUUUCCUUCGGGACAUCUGAUACAGGUGGUGCAUGGUUGUCGUCAGCUCGUGUCGUGAGAUGUUGGGUUAAGUCCCGCAACGAGCGCAACCCUUACUUUUAGUUGCCAUCAGGUAAAGCUGGGCACUCUAAAGGGACUGCCGUGGACAACACGGAGGAAGGUGGGGAUGACGUCAAAUCAUCAUGCCCCUUAUGAUCUGGGCUACACACGUGCUACAAUGGUCGGUACAACAGGCAGCGAAAGGGUGACCUGGAGCUAAUCCUCUAAAGCCGAUCUCAGUUCGGAUUGUAGGCUGCAACUCGCCUACAUGAAGUUGGAGUUGCUAGUAAUCGCGGAUCAGAAUGCCGCGGUGAAUGCGUUCCCGGGUCUUGUACACACCGCCCGUCACACCAUGGAAGCUGGGGGCGCCCGAAGUCCGUGAUCCAACCCUUUUAGGGAGGAAGCGGCCGAAGGUGAAAUCAGUGACUAGGGUGAAGUCGUAACAAGGUAACC